GCCUCGGGCUCCCAAAGUGCUGGGAUUACACAGGCUUGAGCCACCACUGAUUUUAAAUUUAAUAAUUUGUAUGUAUAUAUAUUUGUGUAUAUAUAUGUGUACAUGUGUAUAUAUAUGUGCAUACAGGUAUAUAUGUGUGUGUGUGUGUAUAUAUACACACACACACACACACACACAUAUAUAUAUAUAUUUGAGAUGGAGUCUCCCUCUGUUGCCAGUCUGGAGUGCAUUGGCACGGUAUCGGCUCACUGCAACCUCUGCCUCUCAGGUUCACCUGAUUCUCUUGCCUCAGCCUCUCGAGUAGCUGGGACUAAGGUGCCCACCACCACUCCUGGCUAAUUUUUGUAUUUUUAGUAGAGACGGGGUUUCACCAUGUUGGGCAGGAUGGUCUCGAUCUCCUGACCUCGUGAUCCACCUGCCUCGGCCUCCGAAAGUGCUGGGAUUACAGGCGUGAGCCACCGCACCUGGCCCCGUCUAUAUUUUUUAAAUUAGAAAAAUAAGAACAUACAUCUCACUUUAACUACUAAUUAGGAUUUACAUAGGCACAGUAACUGCAUAUAACAUUUAGAUAAACACUAUAAUGUUACUUUGGUUAGUAGCAAAAUACUGUUAGAAUGAAGUCAAUUCUUUGAUAUCAUCUGGCAAUGUGUUUAUGUGUAAUACAAGCAAGCAAGGCAAUGGUUCUCUUACACAAUGCAACAAUUAAAAGAUAAAUGUGAUCCUAUAAAAAUCAUUGUUUUGCUUGACAAAAAAAAAAUAUAUUUUUCAGUACCAGUCACAACAGCCGUAUUUCAAAUGCUCAAAAGCCACACAUGGCUAGAGGCCACCACACUGAACAACACACAGCGCGAGUCCUUUGCAUGAGGGGAGCUUCGCAGAGCUGAGAAUUCUUGGAUCCCUCCCUUCGCUGCUUGUAUGUUGCUCUACUUAAAUACCUCCCAAUGCUUGGUCUUACCAGCAACCUCAGAAAGGCAGUCUUUUUACAUUUAAACUAUUUUCAGUAAUAGAAAAAGCCAAAGGGAAACAGGCUAAAAGAAUUAAUUUAGCAUCAAAUGCUACCUUUUAUCAUUUUCUGGAACUAAUGGCUGUUUAGUAGGGGCACAAUGGAUUUCUCCUGCAGACUAAAAUCUGAAUAAAUGAUAAUGGGGAAUGAAGUAAAAUCCAGCUUGAGAAACAAGAUUCUUCAACUAAAUACUUUUGUCAGAUGGGUGAAGGAAAAAUGGGGGCCUUGGUGGCAGACAUAAGAUUUUGAAUCAGGGUUUACAUAAUGAAAGCACUGACUGGACAAAACUCAUUUAUCUGUCUUUUCAUCCACACGAGGCAGGAAUUGAGAUUAUUACUUCCCUUUCCUAAACAUUUCAAAAUUCCCUUUCCUUUCUAGGCUUACUGCUCUGCAAGCCCUCCUCAGCUUAGCUGUCAACUGGACCACACCAGAAACCAGCUGACUAGUCUGACACCAAGUAUUCAUCUCCCCUUUUCAUGCAUCCUGCACAGUGCUGCUACAGCAACCUUCCCAGUAGCCCAAGUUUCUUCCUCCACACCUAUUACAUCUUCAGCAUCCAAUGCACUAGAUAUAAGGUCAACGAACAACUUGGAAGUCAAGGAUUAUGCCUAUAAAUCUUUAUUUCCAAACUAAGCACAGAGUCUGACAAUUGUAAAUCUCUCAAUUUUAAGUAAGCUUAGGCAACUUACUAGUGGGUAACUCUGUAAGCCCAGCAGCUUAGAUUCCCUUUGCUGGUAAGCUGGAACGUAUCCGGCAAUUAAAGCUCUUGAAGCCUGCCUCAGGUCGCACUUGAUAGAGCAAGCAAAAUUUCUUGUAACAGACCAAACUCAUUUAAUAGCUUUUCGGUAGAUUAGAGUGAUCUGAAGUUUGUGAUUCAAAGAAAAUGAGAAAACUGACAUUUCCUUGUUCAUUUGAUUAAAAAUGUUAAAUGUGCUAAAACUGUAGAAACUCGUUUUCAAACUACUUUGCAAUCCAGCAGUCCUCCCAACCCCUAGCUAUAGACUAGCUGGUUAGAUUCAUUUAUGUAACAAUCUAUUUAAAAUAUUAUUCAGGGGAAAUUUACUUACAAAAACAUUUCUCAAAUUAUCCUAAAAUUCUAGUAGAAAACUAUCUUCUACAAGUUUCUUCUAACAUAUAACCACUCAUUAUGUUAAAAUUAUCUUUAUAAUAUGUGUAAAAGAUUUUUUUUUUUU
rnacentral:lncRNA from 10 species